GGGGACUUAGCUUAGUGGGAAAGCAUCUGUUGAGACCCAGGAAGAGACGGGUUCGAUUCCCGUAGUCUCCACCA
rnacentral:tRNA from 1 species